GAUGAACGCUGGCGGCGUGCCUAAUACAUGCAAGUCGAGCGAACAGACGAGGAGCUUGCUCCUCUGACGUUAGCGGCGGACGGGUGAGUAACACGUGGAUAACCUACCUAUAAGACUGGGAUAACUUCGGGAAACCGGAGCUAAUACCGGAUAACAUGUUGAACCGCAUGGUUUAACAGUGAAAGACGGUCUUGCUGUCACUUAUAGAUGGAUCCGCGCCGCAUUAGCUAGUUGGUAAGGUAACGGCUUACCAAGGCAACGAUGCGUAGCCGACCUGAGAGGGUGAUCGGCCACACUGGAACUGAGACACGGUCCAGACUCCUACGGGAGGCGGCAGUAGGGAAUCUUCCGCAAUGGGCGAAAGCCUGACGGAGCAACGCCGCGUGAGUGAAGAAGGUCUUCGGAUCGUAAAACUCUGUUAUUAGGGAAGAACAAAUGUGUAAGUAACUAUGCACGUCUUGACGGUACCUAAUCAGAAAGCCACGGCUAACUACGUG
rnacentral:rRNA from 1 species